UCCAGGCCCUACGGGGCGCAGCAGUCGCGAAACCUUUGCAAUACACGAAAGUGUGACAGGGCUAUCCCGAGUGCCAUCCGCUGAGGAAGGCUUUUACCCAGUCUAGAACGCUGGGGGAAUAAGGAGAGGGCAAGUCUGGUGUCAGCCGCCGCGGUAAUACCAGCUCUCCGAGUGGUGUGGAUGUUUAUUGGGCCUAAAGCAUCCGUAGCUGGCUAAGUUAGUCCCUUGUUAAAUCCACCGAAUUAAUCGUUGGACUGCGGGGGAUACUGCUUGGCUAGGGGACGAGAGAGGCAGACGGUAUUUUCGGGGUAGGGGUGAAAUCCUAUAAUCCCGGGAAGACCACCAGUGGCGAAGGCUGUCUGCUAGAACGCGCCCGACGGUGAGGGAUGAAAGCUGGGGGAGCGAACCGGAUUAGAUACCCGGGUAGUCCCAGCUGUAAACGAUGCAGGCUAGGUGUUUGGACGGCCACGUGCCGUUCUAGUGCCGCAGGGAAGCUGUUAAGCCUGCCGCCUGGGGAGUACGAUCGCAAGAUUGAAACUUAAAGGAAUUGGCGGGGGAGCACCACAAGGGGUGAAGCUUGCGGUUUAAUUGGAUUCAACGCCGGGAAGGGCGAAUUCGCGG
rnacentral:rRNA from 1 species